UACGUGAAACCGUUCAGGGGUAAACCUGAGAAACCCAAAAGAUCGAAUGGGGAGAUUCAUCGUCAGCGGCGUUGGCUUCCGUGCGGUUCGCGAUGUCCGGGACCUCGGUCCCGCGUCACGCGUCCGCUGCGGUAUGUCCGGCGUCGUCGGCGUGCACUUCUCCCCUAGUAGGACGUCGCGACCCGUUGGGUGCCGGCCUACGGCCCGGUUGGUCGACUGUCGCGUUCGCUUGAACGCGGCAGACCACCGGUCGCCCGGCCGACUGCCCGGCGGUAUAGAUCGCUAUUUAAAACGGUAUUGGGCCGCAUUAAGUGCGUUCAGGCUCGUCGGCAGGCUCGUCUCGCCCGGAUUUACGGACCUAGUGCCGUUGCCGGGUGCUUGGCGCGGCCGUUAGUCGACGAUGUCCUCGGACUGGCUCUUGCAUUCGAACGGAUAUACCGGUCGGCGACGCUACUGCUUUGGGUACUUUCAGGACCCGUCUUGAAACACGGACCAAGGAGUCUAACAUGUACGCGAG
rnacentral:rRNA from 1 species